rnacentral:miRNA from 1 species
UUUAAAAUCGGCUCUCAAAUAGCCGAUUUUAAAAGUGCUACUUUUAACAUUGGCUAGUUAAGAACCAAUUUUGUA